rnacentral:rRNA from 1 species
UACGUAGGUGGCGAGCGUUGUCCGGAUUUACUGGGCGUAAAGAGCCCGCAGGCGGCCUGGCAAGUUCUGGGUGAAAUCUCCCGGCUCAACUGGGAGGGUGCCUAGAAAACUAUCAGGCUUGAGGCAUGGAGAGGGAUGCGGAAUUCCCGGUGUAGCGGUGAAAUGCGUAGAUAUCGAGAGGAACACCUGCGGCGAAGGCGGGUUGCUGGGCUGACACUGACGCUGAUGUGCGAAAGCUAGGGGAGCGAACGGG